CCUACGGGUGGCUGCAGUGAGGAAUAUUGGUCAAUGGGCGAGAGCCUGAACCAGCCAAGUCGCGUGAAGGUUGACGGCCCUACGGGUUGUAAACUUCUUUUGUCAGGGAGCAAUUUGGUCCACUCGUGGGCUUAGCGAGAGUACCUGAAGAAAAAGCAUCGUCUAACUCCGUGCCAGCAGCCGCGGUAACAGGGAGGAUGCGAGCGUUAUCCGGAUUUUUUGGGUUAAAGGGGUGCGUAGGCGGAAUAUCAAGUCAGCGGUAAAAAUUCGGGGCACAACCGCGUCGUGCCGUUGAAACUGCUGUUCUUGAGUGGGCGAGAAGUAUGCGGAAUGCGUGGUGUAGCGGUGAAAUGCAUAGAUAUCACGCAGAACUCCGAUUGCGAAGGCAGCAUACCGGCGCCCAACUGACGCUGAAGCACGAAAGCGUGGGUAUCGAACAGGAUUAGAUACCCGUGUAGUC
rnacentral:rRNA from 1 species